AUGGUCAUGUUGAGUUGCAUAAGCCUGUUGUUGAUUGAUUGGGAGAUACUGUCAUGGCUUCGGUGUGAUCAGCUCGCUGUAACUGAUAGAUAUCCGAGAAUGGAUUUGCUUUUGAGAUUUAUUAUAGGCUUAGUGUAUUGCCGUCUUUUUUCUCUCUCUGCUCCGCAUCCAAUUUUUGUACUGUUUCUAAGGCAUUUUAAUAUGGCAAAUUUAGCGAUUCUAUUUCUGGAGAGUUAUAGAAUCAAGCCGAACUUGAGUAUCUUUCGUGUGAUGUUCUUGGUCAGUCUGGGACCGAACAUUAUUGGUAUUUAG
rnacentral:rRNA from 1 species